CACGUAGGGGCCAAGCGUUGUCCGGAAUUAUUGGGCGUAAAGAGCUCGUAGGCGGUUUGUCGCGUCUGCUGUGAAAACUCGGGGCUUAACUCCGGGCCUGCAGUGGGUACGGGCAGACUAGAGUGCGGUAGGGGAGACUGGAAUUCCUGGUGUAGCGGUGAAAUGCGCAGAUAUCAGGAGGAACACCGGUGGCGAAGGCGGGUCUCUGGGCCGUAACUGACGCUGAGGAGCGAAAGCGUGGGGAGCGAACAGG
rnacentral:rRNA from 1 species